GGUCCCACGUUCGCGUUCCGUGGGUAUCGAACCCCAAAUACGACUUUAUCAGCCGAAACGUGUCCGUUGCAACAAGAAAUGGAAGUUGUAAUAUUCAUGUAUGCAUUUUUUUUUGUUUAAGUUUUGUGUUUACACAAAUAUUUAAAUUCAACUUCCUUUUUUACUACAAUAACAUUUUGUAGAAAAACUGCCUUUUUUCUCCCAAAGUAAAACGAACUUAAAAUAUUGCUUUUGGUAUCUGCACCAAAAGUUACGUAUCGCUUCAGCACUUCUAUCGUACUAAUAACGGAAGUUUUGAGCAAUACCCAGCCUUGUUUUAACGAGUGGGACAAAUGGAGCUGUUCUCCUCGUAUCAUUUUGGAAAAUUGUAACGCUAUUGU